rnacentral:lncRNA from 1 species
CCCAACCGGCCAACCCAUACGCGGAGACGCCAUCACGCCAAGCCCAGUCACUCCCUCUCGCGGUCGCGGGUCGCGUCACGCGGUCGGCAGUCGUCUCCUGGCUGCAGGCUGCUCGCUCGCUCGUGUGGACUGCUGGCUCAUCGUUGAUCAACAAAGCAAGUUGCAAGCGGUGAAAGCGACUGCGCUGGUGUCUCUGUCCGGCUAGCUCAAGCUCCUCGCUCCUGCGGCUACAAGUAAUGAAGUUGAUGUUUUUUAUUUUAUCGAUCUACUCAUUAAUCUAUAUUCCAUAUUUCUAGUAGGACCAUGACAGGGAGAGAUGAAAGCUCCGACCGUAGUUCGGCGUGCUUGUUGUUGGGAACACCGGCUCUACUAGCUGCUCUUAGAACUGCUGCUCACUUCUGGAUAAAUUAUCAGUUAAUUAGUAUGCUUGUAUGUGACAUGAGUGUAGAUAUAAUUUCUCACUCAAAUAAUGUCACUAUGUAAUUAUGUUGAUGCUAUAAACUUAAUAUAUAUUAAUGUUUGAA